CAGGAUAGCUGGAGCUCGGACGC
rnacentral:siRNA from 1 species